CUUGAGAUGGGAAUAAACCCGGGAAACUGGGUAUAAUACCCGAUAGAUCUCGACUGCUGGAAUGCAUCGAGAUCCAAAGCUCCGGCGCUCAAGGAUGGAUCUGCGGCCUAUCAGGUAGUAGUGGGUGUAGCGUACCUACUAGCCUACGACGGGUACGGGUUGUGAGAGCAAGAGCCCGGAGAUGGAUUCUGAGACACGAAUCCAGGCCCUACGGGGUGCAGCAGGCGCGAAAACUUUACAAUGCUGGAAACAGCGAUAAGGGGACCUCGAGUGCCAGGUUACAAAUCUGGCUGUCGUGAUGCCUAAAAAGCAUUGCAUAGCAAGGGCCGGGCAAGACCGGUGCCAGCCGCCGCGGUAACACCGGCGGCUCGAGUGGUAACCGUUAUUAUUGGGUCUAAAGGGUCUGUAGCCGGCCGGAUAAGUCUCUUGGGAAAUCUGGCAGCUUAACUGUCAGGCUUUCAGGAGAUACUGUCUGGCUCGAGGCCGGGAGAGGUGAGAGGUACUUCAGGGGUAGGGGUGAAAUCUUGUAAUCCUUGAAGGACCACCAGUGGCGAAGGCGUCUCACCAGAACGGACCUGACGGCAAGGGACGAAAGCUAGGGGCACGAACCGGAUUAGAUACCCGGGUAGUCCUAGCCGUAAACGAUACUCGCUAGGUGUCGGCAACGGUGCGACCGUUGUCGGUGCCGUAGGGAAGCCGUGAGGCGAGCCACCUGGGAAGUACGGCCGCAAGGCUGAAACUUAAAGGAAUUGGCGGGGGAGCACCACAACGGGUGGAGCUUGCGGUUUAAUUGGAUUCAACGCCGGAAAUCUUACCGGGACCGACAGCAAUAUGAAGGCCAGGCUGAAGACUUUGCCGGAUUAGCUGAGAGGUGGUGCAUGG
rnacentral:rRNA from 1 species